rnacentral:tRNA from 1 species
GGUGGCUCAGUGGUAGAGUGCUUGCCUUGCACACAUGAGGUCCUGGGUUCGAUUCCUCAGCACCA